rnacentral:misc_RNA from 1 species
GAUGAAGAACGUAGCGAAAUGCGAUAAGUAAUGUGAAUUGCAGAAUUCAGUGAAUCAUCGAAUCUUUGAACGCACAUUGCGCCCGCCAGUAUUCUGGCGGGCAUGCCUGUCUGAGCGUCAUUUCAACCCUCAUGCCCCUAGGGCGUGGUGUUGGGGAUCGGCCAAAGCCCGCGAGGGACGGCCGGCCCCUAAAUCUAGUGGCGGACCCGUCGUGGCCUCCUCUGCGAAGUAGUGAUAUUCCGCAUCGGAGAGCGAUGAGCCCCUGCCGUUAAACCCCCAACUUUCCAAGGUUGACCUCAGAUCAGGUAGGAAUAACCGCUGAACUUAAGCAUAUCAAUAAGCGGAGGA